rfam:Schistosoma mansoni strain Puerto Rico chromosome 1, complete genome
AUCCAAUUGACGUGUCAAAAUAGGACGAAAUGCACGUCCUGGAU